GAUGAACGCUGGCGGCGUGCCUAAUACAUGCAAGUCGAGCGAACAGAUAAGGAGCUUGCUCCUUUGACGUUAGCGGCGGACGGGUGAGUAACACGUGGAUAACCUACCUAUAAGACUGGGAUAACUUCGGGAAACCGGAGCUAAUACCGGAUAACAUAUUGAACCGCAUGGUUCAAUAGUGAAAGGCGGCUUUGCUGUCACUUAUAGAUGGAUCCGCGCCGUAUUAGCUAGUUGGUAAGGUAACGGCUUACCAAGGCAACGAUACGUAGCCGACCUGAGAGGGGGAUCGGCCACACUGGAACGGGGCCACGGUCCAGACUCCGACGGGAGGCAGCAGUAGGAAAUCUUCCGCAAUGGGCGAAAGCCUGACGGAGCAACGCCGCGUGAGUGAUGAAGGUCUUCGGAUCGUAAAACGCUGUUUCAGGGAAGAACAAAUGUGUAAGUAACUGUGCACAUCUUGACGGUACCUGAUCAGAAAGCCACGGCUAACUACGUG
rnacentral:rRNA from 1 species